GUAUGAAUUCUGUAAAGUAAAUCUGCUUUAAAAUCAUUAUAUGAAGUCCCUUUUCCCCCCUCUACCCCAAAGUGUACUCUCUGCAUCACUGUAGCUUUCUCAGAGUUGUAUUCAGUGUUAGUAGACCCAUGGAAAUGGAUAGAAAUUACCAACUUGGCUCCUAUUUUUAGGGGUCAGCUGUAAGAAGAACUUAGCCGGACACAACCUUCAGAAAGCAAGGUAGGUACUGAAACACGUCUGGUUGUUUAAAUGGAUGCAGGGUUAAUUAACAGUGCAUUUUACUUGGAAGCAAAAGCGCAGUUAAAAAGCCAGCAGGCUUGAAAUAUCCUGUGCCAGUGUUCCUUACAGUUCCAUUCUUGUUUUGAUAGCCAGAAUCACUAGCCAGUUCAUCCCACUCACUAAGUAUCUUGUGUGUGUUCAUAUGCAAAUAUAUGUGUGUGUGGACUCGGCUAUAUCAGUAAAAAACCCCAAAAACGUUCUGAGUGCAUUAUAAACAUGCAACACCAGAUGGCGCCAGAGAGCAAAAGAAAUUUCUAUGCAAUUUUUACAUAGCGGUUUUUUUCUUUUGUUAUAACAAUUUAAUUACCCAUGGUUCUCCUGCCCCCCCCCCUUUGUAGAUUCAUUCUGUGUGUUUGUGUGUUUGGUUGGCAUCCAUCUGUCUGGAGAGACAAUGGCAUGAGCCUCUGGGGGUGAAGUCAAAGCGCUGUGUUAGCAGCAACCAUCAUGCAGAUAACUAUUAUUUGGGCAGGGACCCGAAUACAACUUAAACUAGAAAGGUCUGUACUACAUUUUCACCCUUUCCAGGAUAGCUUGUAACAUUCCCCCCCCCCCCAAAAGAAAGGUUGGCGAGUGGGAGUUGUUCCAUGGCACACAAUUUUACUCCUGUAAGUUGCUAUCCCAGACCAAACCGCAGGCAAAGCAGCCUUUUGCUACGAAUGCAGUUGUGGACUUGAGCAUGCAAGCUACCUUCAUUUAAGAGAAUCAUUCUGUACCAAGAAAUGCAUGCAUGGGGUGAAUCAGUCUUUGGUAGUGGUGCGGCGGAUAGGACACAGAAACUGUGGGAGAAAGUUAGCAGAGAUGGAGAACUAAUUGACUGAAGAAGUGGAGGAAAUGACUUGAACAGAGGCGUUCAGAUGAGGGGAGAGGUGGAUGUAAGGGAAACACAAAGUUACAGCAGAAAUGGUACUGCUAGAUCUGUGAAUUCAGAUGGUGCUCCUCUGGUGUUCAGCUUUGGCCCUCAGACACUAUGUACGGGGCUGAGAGGAAGCUCUCAGCUUUUGUGGCUCCUGAUUUUCCAAAUGUGUUGUUUGCACCUCCUUUCUCAUAUCUCGAGAACUUGAAUCUUGUACUUUACCUCGUUUAGAAGCCACACUGAAGCCCAGUUGUUAUUCUCUCAAUAGAAAACAAAGUCGGAGGGGCUGAGUCCGAUCCUGAGGCGAAGAGAUGUUUUUUCCUUUGGCGAGGGGAGCUCUGGGCUUCGCGGCUCGUGGCGUGCAGCGUACUGCGGCAAGACAAGUUCACAGCAAACAUGGGCCUGAUUUUCAUGGCAAAUAUGGCAACUUGAUUUUGCUUGGUGGGGCUCUGUUUUGUGUCUCCAUUUGGAGCUAUGUUGUGACACAAACAGGGAUAGAAUGGAAUUUGUCUCCGGUUGGUCGAAUUACCCCAAAAGAAUGGAGAGAGGAGUAGAGAUGCUGGGUUAAACCCUCUGCUGAAAAGUUGGGAGCAGCCAUGGGUUUGCUGGAGCUUUUAUUGGAAUAUACUAAUACUAUGCCUGUAGAGGGCACAAUUAUCUGUGAUUUAAUAAAUGCAUUUAAACAUUAAAGAAAGA